rnacentral:tRNA from 1 species
GCCAGUGUGUUGCAGUGGUUUGAGUGUUGGACUAUGACUCCGGAGACCAGGGUUCGAAUCCUGGUUUGGCC